rnacentral:rRNA from 1 species
CCCUUAGAUGUUCUGGGCCGCACGCGCGCUACACUGAUGCAUUCAACGAGUCUAAAACCUGGUCUGAUAGGGCUGGGUAAUCUUUUGAAAGUGCAUCGUGAUUGGGAUAGAUGAUUGCAAUUCUUCAUCUUCAACGAGGAAUGCCUAGUAAACGCAAGUCAUCAGCUUGCAUUGAUUACGUCCCUGCCCUUUGUACACACCGCCCGUCGCUCCUACCGAUUGAAUGAUCCGAUGAAUACCAUGGAUUGAGAGUACGAAUGGGUUCGCUCAUUUCUGCUGCUCGAGAAGUGGAGUAAAUCUUAUCACUUAGAGGAAGGAGAAGUCGUAACA